CAAAAUGUUGGUUUUUAUCAAAAAUGUUUUAUUUACUAGAAACUUCAGAGUUGUAGUAUAAAGAGAAUAACCAUACAUUGUCUCAAAAUAUGAAUUUUAUUUGUACUUGAAACCAUGAUUAAUUGCUUGGGACAGGUUUGCAUUCAUCACGUUUCAAGCCUUGUACUUAUAGAUAAGUUUUAUAUUUUGAAUACAAUUAAAACAGACCUAAUACCACCAAAACGGCAUGCGUCAUACUGGUGACCUCAUUCUGGUCAUAUAAAAUCUGUGAUCUAUAUGGCUUUUCAGCGCAGUCCAAUAUUUCUUAAACGGACUGGCAAAUUAAUGAAUCCCUAAUUUUAUGUUAACAUAUUAUAUUGUGCAUGUUAUUCAGGAUUCAUUGCCAGUCAAUAUUGGAAAUAUUGGCGCUAUAUUCACUUCAUUGCAAGUUCCUAUUUGAAAAAUUGACCCUAAAUAUACACAUUUGAUGUCUGUAAUACACCAUUCAGAAUGAGUCUGUAUUGAAAAAUGAUUUAAUAGAAGUGCUAUGAACUGGCUGUUUCUGUAUUGGCACUGGUAUAUAACCCUACAAGUAUCUAGUGCAAUACAGCAAACCUUGAAUCUAUACCAGAGCAAGUACUUACAGAAACAGCCAGUCAAUAACACUUUAACAAUAUAUGUUUAUUCUACAUGUCAUUUUGAAGUUAUUUCUGCUGUCCUUCAAAAAUUAUAUGCAUAAAUUAUAUUUUUCUCAUGUAUUUAAUAUAUCCUGAUAAAAAGUAAACACUUUUACUAGUUACAAGUCUU
rnacentral:lncRNA from 1 species